GGUUUGUCCCUCUCUCUCCUGCAAGUGCUGGUGAUCUCCUCGCCAUGCUGUGGGCUCCCCUCCUUGUCCUGCUGGGGACGUGGUGCACAGGUGCCAGAUCACAGUCUCUGCUCACUCAGCCGCCCGCAGAGUCAGUGUCCCCAGGAAACACUGUGAAACUCUCCUGCGCCGUGACCAGUGGGACCAGCAUCAGUGGCUACAGUGUGCUCUGGUACCAGCAGAAACCUGGGACCACCCCUCGGUACCUGCUGUAUUACAAGUCGGAUUCUGACAAGCACCAGGGCUCCGGGGUCCCCGCUCGCUUCUCUGGCUCCAAAGACACGUCCAGUAACACCGGCUAAUUUACCAUCGCCG